rnacentral:tRNA from 1 species
GAGGGUGUAGCUCAGUGGUAGAGUGCGUGCUUAGCAUGCACGAGGUCCUGGGUUCAAUCCCCAGUAACUCCA